AACGAACGCUGGCGGCAGGCCUAAAACAUGCAAGUCGAACGAACCUUCGGGUUAGUGGCGCACGGGUGAGUAACGCGUGGGAAUGUGCCUCUGGGUGCGGAACAACGUCGGGAAACUGACGCUAAUACCGCAUAAUGUCUUCGGACCAAAGAUUUAUCGCCCAGAGAUCAGCCCGCGUUAGAUUAGGCAGUUGUUGGGGUAAUGGCCUACCAAGCCUACGAUCUAUAGCUGGUCUGAGAGGAUGAUCAGACACACUGGAAUUGAGACACGGUCAAGACUUCUACGGGAGGCAGCAGUUAGGAAUAUUGGACAAUGGGCGCAAGCCUGUUCCAGCCAUGCCGAGUGUGUGACGAAGGCCUUAGGGUUGUAAAGCACUUUCGUCCGCGAAGAUAAUGACAGUAACGGAAGAAGAAGCUCCGGCUAAAUUCGUGCCAGCAGCCGCAGUAA
rnacentral:rRNA from 1 species